GCAUGGCUGGUUGGCUACGUUCGGGAGGGAUAACCGCUGAAAGCAUCUAAGCGGGAAGCCUGCUUCGAGAUGAGGGCUCCCACCCACUUGAUGGGGUAAGGCUCCCAGUAGACGACUGGGUUGAUAGGCCGGAUAUGGAAGCACGGUAACGUGUGGAGUUGACCGGUACUAAUAGGCCGAGGGCUUGUCCUCAGUUG
rnacentral:rRNA from 1 species